rnacentral:lncRNA from 1 species
GCCCUCCCCCCGACCAAGGCCUCUGGGGCUAUUUUGGGCCCCACCAUGUAAGUAACACCCGCACCUGUUGUGGGUAUUUUAAGGGAACAAGUGGAGGGAGGGAGGCUGGGGGUGGGAGGAGCUGGAGCCUGGAUGCCCGGGUCCUGGAGAGGGCAGGGACUGGGGGAAAGGGAUGCCUGAGGCCUUCCAAGAGAGGGAGAGAUGAAAUCUGGGCUUCUAGGAAGGGGGCCCAGCUGGAAUAACAGCCCACACCGUUCUCUUCAUCAACUUUAUUAGACAGGACACCCUCACAGGGUGGUCCACGCCGCCCCAGCCCCGAGCCUGCAGCCCCAGUCGGCAACCAGGACCAGGACAUCAGCAGGGUGAGGAGCCAGACCCAUCAGGGAGGCAGGGAUGGAGGCAGAUUUGGGAUCCUGUCUCCAUGUGACAACAGCUGACCGGACACCGCUUGGCUUGCCCUAGCCCAGAUUCCUCAGCCCCUCCCUCUGGCCGCUGGCCCUCAGCAUCUCUCUGGAGCCAUGAAGCCUUCUCUCUCUCUCAUGGGGCUUCCCUGCUGGUACCUCUCCCUCCUGUGUGUCCCCUUGUCUCUGGGUCACUGGCUCCGUCUCCAGAGGUAACGUGUGUCUAGACAGAGCUCAGCAGGUGCCUUUGUCCCUCUGCCUUCCCAUGUCUCUCUGGGCAAAUACAAUCUGCAUUUGAUGCCAUAUAUGUGUAUUUAUGUAUGCAUGUGUGUAUAUACACUUACACACACACACACAUACACACACACACACACACACACACACACACACAGAAACAUCUGCUGUCUCUUCUGUUCCGAUCUCUGUAUCAUUAUUCUGGUAAUUUGAUUUUGACUUUUCAUGUCAUUACUACUUUCCUUGCAUCCCUCUUCCCUCUAUUAUUUUAUAGUAACUUGCUUUUGAUUUUCCAUGUCUUUAUCACUACUUUGCUUGCAUCCCUCUUCCCUCUAUUAUUUUAUAGUAAUUUGAUUUUUCAUGUCAUUACUACUUUCCUUGCAUCCCUCUUCCCUUCAUUAUUUUAUAGUAAUUUGCUUUUGAUUUUUCAUGUCUUUAUCACUGCUUUGUUUGUUAGUUGAUUCUUCCCGGCCCUAGACAGAGCUAGUGUCUUCCUCUGGCAUCCCUGUUCCCUCUAUUAUUUUAUAUUCACUUGCUUUUGAUUUUCCGUGUCUUUUUCACUGCUUUGCUUGUUGGUUGACUCUUCCCGGCCUGGACAGAUUCCACGUCUUCCUCGGGCCUCCCUCUUCCCUCUGUCCUUUUCUAGCUCGGGCUCGCCCUCCCCGGCCCCUUAUCUUUCUCUGUUGCCCAGUAUUGGUUGGCUCCUGGCGAGCGCCGGGCACUGUGCUGGGGAUGCACGCCUGGGCUUCCUUGCUUUUCCUCCUCUCUUCCAGUGCCUCCUUACCUGGGCCUCCGUGAUAGAGGAGCGCGGCAUUGUGGGCACGGGUAAAUGUAUGAACGGCCUGCCUCUAAGCCCCCCCCCCCCCGCUUUUGGUGCCUCUGUUUCCCCAAACGCCCCUUUUCUCGGGCUCUCUCUGGAAGGGCUUUCUCUCUCUCUCUCUCCCGCGCGCGGCCUCUAAUCCCUCCGCUCUCUCAGCCAGCCUUUCUCUGCCUCCCUCUGGCCUUCUCGUUCUUUUUGUCAGGGGUCCCCUGUGCUCCCUGGACCGGGCCAGGUAAGACCCCCCCACCCACCCCA